GACGAAGCAUGCAAACGUUAUUCGGAUUCACUGGGCUUAAAGCGUGCGUAGGCGGUCUUGUUAGUCAGGGGUGAAAGCCCUCAGCCUAACUGAGGAAUUGCGCUUGAUACUGCAUGACUAGAGAAUGAUAGAGGUGGGUGGAACUGAUGGUGGAGCGGUGAAAUGCGUUGAUAUCAUCAGGAACACCAGUGGCGAAGGCGACCCACUGGGUCAUUUCUGACGCUGAGGUACGAAAGCUAGGGUAGCGAACGGG
rnacentral:rRNA from 1 species